UACGUAGGUGACCAGCGUUGUCCGGAUUUACCGGGCGUAAAGAGCGCGCAGGCGGUCGUUCAAGUCGGGUGUGAAAGCCCCCGGCUCAACUGGGGAGGGUCAUUCGAUACUGAUCGACUGGAAGGCAGGAGAGGGAAGCGGAAUUCCCGGUGUAGUGGUGAAAUGCGUAGAUAUCAGGAGGAACACCAAAGGCGAAGGCAGCUUCCUGGCCCAAUUCUGACGCUGAGGUGCGAAAGCGUGGGUAGCGAACGGG
rnacentral:rRNA from 1 species